CUCCAGCACUGCCAGCACAUGCUGAACUAAGGCUACCUUGCGCGUGCUGUAGUUGCAUUUCUAAUGGUCCUGCAGGUACAUCAACACCGCAACCCCUAAAACACAGCAGAAACCAAGCCUAGCUCCUUCCUCAUUCCCUUUCAUACGAGGCCUGUGGGGUAUGUAUCUAGCAACCAAGAAUGGACUUUCCCUUCUCUUUACAACCCAGACCCACCUUUGACUUGGUCCUUGUCUCUUGUUCAGCACCUUCAGAACUCCUUCACCGACAACAGGCUUAGCAUCUUAAUCAUCUACUUUUUCCCUCCACAGCUGCCUCCACACCCUUCCAAGGCGGAGGAUGGUGUAAGACGACUAGAUGGGGCUUCCAAAAAUCUCAGCUUCCCCCUCAUAAAUAGACCAGGGACCCACAGCAAAGGCAGGAAUUGUAAACGUGGAAGAUGAGUUCCCCAGCUUCCUGCUCUUCAGGGCAUCCUGUAAGGCCCAGGCCAAGAUGAGGUUCCCAGACUUCCUAGUCUCCCUCCUCACAAAGCUGAAAGCCACGGCACAGCAGCAACUGGGACUCGUAGACAUAUAGCUCUGUGCAAAACUGGAAGCUGCAAAUCAGAUGAGAGAGCAAAGAGGGAAGCAGAAAGAUUCUUACCUUUAUUCUACCCCCAAGCUCAUCAGGCCAGAUAGGUCUCUACAAAACAUUCUGGACAACAAGCGUUUCCACCUGGACCUAAUUGGGCUCGUUGAGAACAAACAAAUUUAACAAGACUGAGUUCUGUUUGAACAUUAUAGUCCCUAGGAACAGUCUGAUUUAUAAAAUAAUGGGCCAUUUGCAUCAUAAAAGUUAACGGUACUAAGAGGUUUGGGGUUAUUAAACAUUGUAGUGGAUUAUUUCUUGUAUGUGGUACAAGGGAAAGGGGAAGUAAGUUGCAUACCACAGUAUUUACAAUUUCCCCCACUCUUCUUGUAGCCAAGGCAACAAGGCUGCUUACAUGUUGCGGUUUCUAACUUACAAGAUGCUCUCCUCUGGUUGCAUAAUAUUAGCACAAUUAUGAAAUAUUAAGUUCUGUCUUUUUUAUGUUUUUGUAAUCCUAACUGGCUGAUUUUCACUGUACCUCUUUCUCCUUUUCUCCUGUUUGUCCUGUACUUAGAGGAAAUACAUUACCUGUAGUAGCAUUUCCAAGACUCUCAGCAUUUGCUUUUACCAUCUGGAUACAGCUAUCAACUUGAUCUCCAUAAGUUACACACUGUUUAAGCAUUUGUUCUUUCCAACAGUCUGUACAGUUGUGAGGUGAAAACACUCCAUGUUAUAAAGUGCUAUUUAACAAAUAAAUAAACCGAAGAAACCA
rnacentral:lncRNA from 1 species